rnacentral:tRNA from 1 species
GGAAGAGUGGCUGAAGGCGGCGGCUUGCUAAGCCGUUAUGCGGGGACAUCCGCAUCGAGGUUCGAAUCCCUCCUCUUCCGCCA